rnacentral:rRNA from 1 species
AACGAACGCUGGCGGCAUGCCUAACACAUGCAAGUCGAACGAGACCUUCGGGUCUAGUGGCGCACGGGUGCGUAACGCGUGGGAACCUGCCCUUAGGUUCGGAAUAACUCCCCGAAAGGGGUGCUAAUACCGGAUAAUGUCUUCGGACCAAAGAUUUAUCGCCUUUGGAUGGGCCCGCGUUGGAUUAGCUUGUUGGUAGGGUAAAAGCCUACCAAGGCGACGAUCCAUAGCUGGUCUGAGAGGAUGAUCACCCACACUGGGACUGAGACACGGCCCAGACUCCUACGGGAGGCAGCAGUGGGGAAUAUUGGACAAUGGGCGAAAGCCUGAUCCAGCAAUGCCGCGUGAGUGAUGAAGGCCUUAGGGUUGUAAAGCUCUUUUAACCGGGAUGAUAAUGACAGUACCGGGAGAAUAAGCUCCGGCUAACUCCGUG